rnacentral:lncRNA from 1 species
CAACCAAGCACUGCACAAAAUCAAUGAAUCAAGCCUGAUUACAGUAUUGAUAGAAUCUGACAGGUAUCAAAACACUAGAAUACACCAAAGAAACCUAACAACCUUACUAGUCGAGACUUCUUUUGAUUGCUGUGUCAUCGAAAGUGAGUCCUGAAGUUGGGGAAAUUCCAGCAAUCCUGGCAUCACCACAAGAAAUACCGGAGGACCCAAAAAAUAAACUAGAUCUAGAUGAAUCAAAUAAAAGUCUUAUGAAAGAAAAUAAGGAUAAAAUGUAGAACAUGAAAAUGAACCAGUAAAAGAUGCCAACAGUAUGAAUACUAGCAGUAUGAAGGUUCAGAGUGAUGAUGAUACAAAGAAUGAAGAAACACCCACUGACCGAACCACUGACACUGUUUCACAAG